rnacentral:rRNA from 1 species
CCUACGGGUGGCAGCAGUGGGGAAUAUUGGGCAAUGGGCGCAAGCCUGACCCAGCAACGCCGCGUGAAGGAAGAAGGCUUUCGGGUUGUAAACUUCUUUUCGCAGGGACGAAGCAAGUGACGGUACCUGAAGAAUAAGCCACUGCUAACUACGUGCCAGCAGCCGCGGUAAUACGUAGGUGGCAAGCGUUAUCCGGAUUUACUGGGUGUAAAGGGCGUGUAGGCGGGACUGCAAGUCAGAUGUGAAAACCAUGGGCUCAACCUGUGGCCUGCAUUUGAAACUGUAGUGCUUGAGUGCUGGAGAGGCAGACGGAAUUCCUAGUGUAGCGGUGAAAUGCGUAGAUAUUAGGAGGAACACCAGUGGCGAAGGCGGUCUGCUGGACAGCAACUGACGCUGAGGCGCGAAAGCGUGGGGAGCAAACAGGAUUAGAUACCCCGGUAGUC